rnacentral:rRNA from 1 species
AGCGAACGCUGGCGGCAGGCCUAACACAUGCCAGUCGAACGAACUCUUCGGAGUUAGUGGCGGACGGGUGAGUAACACGUGGGAACGUGCCUUUUGGUUCGGAAUAACUCAGGGAAACUUGUGCUAAUACCGAAUGUGCCCUUCGGGGGAAAGAUUUAUCGCCAUUAGAGCGGCCCGCGUCUGAUUAGCUAGUUGGUGAGGUAACGGCUCACCAAGGCGACGAUCAGUAGCUGGUCUGAGAGGAUGACCAGCCACACUGGGACUGAGACACGGCCCAGACUCCUACGGGAGGCAGCAGUGGGGAAUCUUGCGCAAUGGGUGAAAGCCUGACGCAGCCAUGCCGCGUGAAUGAUGAAGGUCUUAGGAUUGUAAAAUUCUUUCACCGGGGACGAUAAUGACGGUACCCGGAGAAGAAGCCCCGGCUAACUUCGUG